UACGUAGGGUGCGAGCGUUGUCCGGAAUUACUGGGCGUAAAGAGCUCGUAGGUGGUUUGUCGCGUUGUUCGUGAAAUGCCACAGCUUAACUGUGGGCGUGCGGGCGAUACGGGCAGACUGGAGUACUGCAGGGGAGACUGGAAUUCCUGGUGUAGCGGUGGAAUGCGCAGAUAUCAGGAGGAACACCGGAGGUGAAGACGGGUUGCUGGGCUGACACUGACGCUGAGGCGCGAAAGCUAGGGUAGCAAACGGG
rnacentral:rRNA from 1 species